rnacentral:rRNA from 1 species
AUGGGUGAUUUUAAUGAUAUCCUUGACCCCUUGGAGAAGAAUAGUAAUGUUGUUUUAAACCGCCGUCGUAUGGCUAGUUUUUCUAAUCAUAUUAAACGAUGUGGUUUAAUAGAUAUGGGUUUUAAUGGUCCUGCCUUUACGUGGUGCAAUAAACGUUUUACUUCCAUUCCUACUUAUGAAAGACUUGAUCGAUGUUUUGCAAACGUUGAAUGGUGUAAAGUAUUUCCUAAUACUGCUGUGUACAACUUGCCAAUUAUGUAUAGUGAUCAUGCACCAAUUCUUACUAUCUCCAAACCUGUUACUGUUAAAACAAAAAGACCUUUCAAAUUUGAGAAU